rnacentral:tRNA from 1 species
AUAUAAAUAAGCUAAAUUUAAGCUUUUAGGUUCAUACCCUAAAUAUAGAAAAAUCUUUUAUAUA